AACGAACGCUGGCGGCAGGCCUAACACAUGCAAGUCGAACGCCGUAGCAAUACGGAGUGGCAGACGGGUGAGUAACGCGUGGGAACAUACCCUCCGGUUCGGAAUAACUCAGGGAAACUUGAGCUAAUACCGGAUACGUCCAAGGUUUUAAUUCGGCCUUGGAGAAAGAUUUAUCGCUGGAGGAUUGGCCCGCGUCUGAUUAGCUUGUUGGUGAGGUAAUGGCUCACCAAGGCGACGAUCAGUAGCUGGUCUGAGAGGAUGAUCAGCCACAUU
rnacentral:rRNA from 1 species